GACGAACGCUGGCGGCGUGCUUAACACAUGCAAGUCGAACGGUAAGGCCCUUCGGGGUACACGAGUGGCGAACGGGUGAGUAACACGUGGGUGAUCUGCCCUGCACUUCGGGAUAAGCCUGGGAAACUGGGUCUAAUACCGGAUAGGACUCCUGGCUUCAUGGUUGGGGGUGGAAAGCUUUUGCGGUGUGGGAUGGGCCCGCGGCCUAUCAGCUUGUUGGUGGGGUAAUGGCCUACCAAGGCGACGACGGGUAGCCGGCCUGAGAGGGUGACCGGCCACACUGGGACUGAGAUACGGCCCAGACUCCUACGGGAGGCAGCAGUGGGGAAUAUUGCACAAUGGGCGCAAGCCUGAUGCAGCGACGCCGCGUGAGGGAUGACGGCCUUCGGGUUGUAAACCUCUUUCAGUAGGGACGAAGCGCAAGUGACGGUACCUACAGAAGAAGGACCGGCCAACUACGUGCCAGCAGCCGCAGUAA
rnacentral:rRNA from 1 species